rnacentral:rRNA from 1 species
UGCUCAACAGCUAGCCCACCCCAAAACUUCAACAAGUCAAUCUAAAUACCCCCAAAGCACACUAAUUUUAAGUAAACAAACCAUUUUUCCCCCUUAGUAUAGGCGAUAGAAAAGGAUAUUAGGCGCAAUAGAGAAAGUACCGCAAGGGAAUGCUGAAAGAGAAAUGAAAUAACCCAGAGAAGCUAAGAAAAGCAGAGAUUUAACCUCGUACCUUUUGCAUCAUGAUUUAGCAAGUGUAACUUAAGCAAAGAGAACUAUAGUUUAAUACCCCGAAACUAUGUGAGCUACUCCAAGACAGCCUAUUAUAGGGCAUACCCGUCUCUGUUGCAAAAGAGUGGGGAGAGCUUUGAGUAGAGGUGACAGACCUACCGAACCUAGUUAUAGCUGGUUGCCCAAGAAAUGAAUAGAAGUUCAGCUUCCUGGCUUCUCUUUUCACAUUAGCUUUACACCUACUGAUGUAUUUAAGAAACCAAGAAAGUUAGUCGAAGGGGGUACAGCCCCUUUGAAUCAAGACACAACUUUAACAGGAGGGUAAAGAUCAUAAUAAACCAAAGGAGAGUACUCUGGUGGGCUUGAAAGCAGCCAUCCUAAGAGAAAGCGUCAAAGCUCAAGUACUCCACUUACCCCCUUAUCCUGAUCAUUUAAUCUUAUCCCCCUAUCCAUACUGGGCCGUCCCAUGCCAACAUGGGAGUGAUUAUGCUAAUAUGAGUAAUAAGGGAGCAACGCCUCCCUCCCUGCACACGUGUACAUCGGAACGGACAACCCGCCGACUCUUAACGACCCCAACCAAAGAGGGGCAUGGAUAACAUACUAAACAACUAGAAGACCAUCCAAACUCUAUCGUUAACCCUACACAGGUGUGCCCCCGGGAAAGACUAAAAGAAAAAGAAGGAACUCGGCAAACACACAAAGCCUCGCCUGUUUACCAAAAACAUCGCCUCUUGUAAUUAAGAAAUAAGAGGUCCCGCCUGCCCUGUGACUAUAAGUUUAACGGCCGCGGUAUUUUAACCGUGCGAAGGUAGCGCAAUCACUUGUCUUUUAAAUGAAGACCUGUAUGAAUGGCAUAACGAGGGCUUAGCUGUCUCCUUUUUCCAGUCAAUGAAAUUGAUCUCCCCGUGCAGAAGCGGGGAUAAAAACAUAAGACGAGAAGACCCUAUGGAGCUUUAGACACUAAAGUGGAUCACGUCCAUAAGCCAUAAACAAAGGCAUGAACCAAAUGAAGCCCACCUUGAUGUCUUUGGUUGGGGCGACCGCGGGGAACUAAUUAACCCCCAUGUGGAAUGGGAAAACUCCUCCCACAGCUGAGAGUAACAACUCCAAUAAACAGAACUUCUGACCAAAAAGAUCCGGCAAUGCCGAUCAACGGACCUAGUUACCCUAGGGAUAACAGCGCAAUCCUCUUUUAGAGCCCAUAUCGACAAGGGGGUUUACGACCUCGAUGUUGGAUCAGGACAUCCUAAUGGUGCAGCCGCUAUUAAGGGUUCGUUUGUUCAACGAUUAAAGUCCUACGUGAUCUGAGUUCAGACCGGAGUAAUCCAGGUCAGUUUCUAUCUAUGCAGUGCUCUUCUCUAGUACGAAAGGACCGAGAAGAGGGGGCCAAUGCCAAAGCAUGCCUCCCCCUUACCUAAUGAAUUUAACUAAAAUAGGCAAAAGGGCAUAUCCCUGUGCCGAAGAUUACGGCAU